AUUGAACGCUGGCGGCAGGCCUAACACAUGCAAGUCGAGCGGAUGAAGGGAGCUUGCUCCUGGAUUCAGCGUCGUACGGGUGAGUAAUGCCUAGGAAUCUGCCUUUUAGUGGGGUAUAACGUCCGGAAACGGGCGCUAAUACCGCAUACGUCCUGAUGGUGAAAGAGUGGGAUCUUCGGACCUCACGCUAUCAGAUGAGCCUAGGUCGGAUUAGCUAGUUGGUGGGGUAAAGGCCUACCAAGGCGACGAUCCGUAACUGGUCUGAGAGGAUGAUCAGUCACACUGGAACUGAGACACGGUCCAGACCCCUACGGGAGGCAGCAGUGGGGAAUAUUGGACAAUGGGCGACAGCCUGAUCCAGCCAUGCCGCGUGUGUGAAGACGGUCUUCGGAUUGUAAAGCACAUUAAGUUGGGACGAAGGGCAGUAAGUUAAUACCUUGCUGUUUUGACGUUACCAACAGAAUAAGCACCGGCUAACUUCGUG
rnacentral:rRNA from 1 species